AGUUCGAUCAUGGCUCAGAUUGAACGCUGGCGGGAUGCUUUACACAUGCAAGUCGAACGGCAGCACGGACUUCGGUCUGGUGGCGAGUGGCGAACGGGUGAGUAAUGUAUCGGAACGUGCCUAGUAGCGGGGGAUAACUACGCGAAAGGUGCAGCUAAUACCGCAUACGCCCUUCGGGGGAAAGCGGGGACCUUUCGGCCCUCGCACUAUUAGAGCGGCCGAUAUCGGAUUAGCUAGUUGGUGGGGUAACGGCUCACCAAGGCGACGAUCCGUAGCUGGUUUGAGAGGACGACCAGCCACACUGGGACUGAGACACGGCCCAGACUCCUACGGGAGGCAGCAGUGGGGAAUUUUGGACAAUGGGGAAACCCUGAUCCAGCCAUCCCCGCGUGUGCGAUGAAGGCCUUCUGGUUGUAAAGCACUUUUGGCAGGUGAAAAGAAACGGCACGGGAUAAUACCCCGUGCAACUGACGGUACCUGCAGAAUAAGCACCGGCUAACUACGUGCCAGCAGCCGCGGUAAUACGUAGGGUGCAAGCGUUAAUCGGAAUUACUGGGCGUAAAGCGUGCGCAGGCGGUUCGGAAAGAAAGAUGUGAAAUCCCAGAGCUUAACUUUGGAACUGCAUUUUUAACUACCGAGCUAGAGUGUGUCAGAGGGAGGUGGAAUUCCGCGUGUAGCAGUGAAAUGCGUAGAUAUGCGGAGUGAACCGAUGGCGAAGGCAGCCUUCUGGGAUAACACUGACGCUCAUGCACGAAAGCGUGGGGAGCAAACAGGAUUAGAUACCCUGGUAGUCCACGCCCUAAACGAUGUCAACUAGCCGUUGGGGCCUUCGGGCCUUGGUAGCGCAGCUAACGCGUGAAGUUGACCGCCUGGGGAGUACGGUCGCAAGAUUAAAACUCAAAGGAAUUGACGGGGACCCGCACAAGCGGUGGAUGAUGUGGAUUGACCCGAUGCAACGCGAAAAACCUACCUACCCUUGACAUGUCUGGAAUCCCGAAGAGAUUUGGGAGUGCUCGCAAGAGAACCGGAACACAGGUGCUGCAUGGCUGUCGUCAGCUCGUGUCGUGAGAUGUUGGGUUAAGUCCCGCAACGAGCGCAACCCUGUCAUUAGUUGCUACGAAAGGGCACCUAAUGAGACUGCCGGUGACAAACCGGAGGAAGGUGGGGAUGACGUCAAGUCCUCAUGGCCCUUAUGGGUAGGCUUCACACGUCAUACAAUGGUCGGGACAGAGGGUCGCCAACUCCGCGAGGGGGAGCCAAUCCAGAAACCCGAUCGUAGUCCGGAUCGCAGUCUGCAACUCGACUGCGUGAAGUCGGAAUCGCUAGUAAUCGCGGAUCAGCAUGUCGCGGUGAAUACGUUCCCGGGUCUUGUACACACCGCCCGUCACACCAUGGGGAGGGGUUUUACCAGAAGUAGUUAGCCUAACCGUAAGGAGGGCGAUUACCACGGUAGGAUUCAUGACUGGGGUGAAGUCGUAACAAGGUAG
rnacentral:rRNA from 1 species